rnacentral:lncRNA from 1 species
CGCCUUAGUAAGGAUACUCUUACACACACACACACACACACACACACACACACACACACACACACCCUCUACUCAUCUACUAAGAGGAAGGAGAAAACCAAUGGAAAAAGAGUCCCAGUUCUCUGGUCAGCAUUCCCGCAGGCUGCACGCAGUGAUUCUGGUUAGGCUGUAAGACACCUUUCAUUCCGUAGCCUAGCGCCAAGCGUGGCCCCUGUGGAAGGAAAAAGGCAGCUACCUGGGGGUCAGCUUCGGCGGAGGCAGCUGCCCAGCUGCACUGGCGUCGGGCGUGGCGAAAGCGAGGAAGCGCUAAAACAGCCAGACAGAGGCAGCCGCAGCUGAGGUGGCAGAGGCAGCAAAAGCCGCGGUGGCAAGGGCAGCAACAGCAGCAGGAGCCACAGCAGGCGGCAAGCAGGCAGUCCCCUGGAUGUUGAAUACGGGCAGUACUCUCCUGUCAGAGCCGAGACGAAGGAAGACUAGAGCAGAAAACACUGGGAGUGGAGGGAGUUGGGGGAGUCGUAGUCGUGGUGGAGAGGGCGGGUUGACUCCUUCUUCCUUUUCACUACUUCACUCUAUCCCAUACAUCAUUCUCGGUACUCAUUCCCCAUAGCACUCUCCCUCCACCCCCAUCCUCAUCCCCAUCACACACACACACACACACACACACACACACACGCCUUCUUUUUUCUCCCCUUCCCUUCUCACCACUCCUAGAAGCUCCCGUUUGGAAAUGGAGACAAGCAACUCUCAUCAGGACUCAUCAGCAUCCCACAGUCCUGAAGAGAUGAACUAAGGGGGAGGCAGGAGGAGUUCUCUCUUCCCUUAAGUGGUAGAUAGGAAGAUUUGAAAGAAGUACGGUCAUUUCCCCCGCUACUGAGUGUAAACAGCCUUUCCCUCAAAGAGGAAGUAGUGAAGAUAAGGGAGAGGAAGGACUGGAGGUUGCAAGUUACUGCUCUUCCUUGCACUCACUCAGCCAACUCUCCCGGAAAAGGGGACUGAGCGCUUCGCUGGAGUUAUUUGUAAAUAAUAGUGACGACACAGUAUCUUGUUUAUAUGGACAAGAACAUUAUUGAGGAGGCCUUUGCUGCUGAUGGAUUGCACUAGUUCUUAGUGCAAUCGCCUGGAUCCAGGGGCCUGAGAAGCAGCAGCAGCCCCAGUCGCAGCAGCAGUAGCAGUCUUGGUAUUGAGUAAGGGACUCAGAGCCCCCACCCUUCUGAAGCCAAUGCACCUCCUUAAAAAGGGCCACUCGGGGAAGUAAAGCUACCAGCCAGACGCAGCGAAACAACACAGACAGGCAAACCAGCAACGACACAAACUAAAUAGGAAAUCCAACUCAACUGCGUUUGUUUCCAAAAAAUCAUAAACACCCAAGGACAGUAAAAUGAGCUCUCCUUCUUUCUUCCCUGAGAAGAGCACGAUGUUUCUCCAUUCCACAUCCCUUUCUUACCUCCUUUUCCCCUCCUCAAAGAAAAACUAACUCAAUUAGAAAAGGAAUAAAGAAAUAAAAAUCACAGCUACGUGUAUGACCAAGUAUAUUCUC